GGACCCACAGCUGCUUGCAAAUUAAGGCUUGAAUCCCCCCGGAGGAACACAAAACAUAAGCUUGUUUGUGUCUGAAAGUUUGUAUUAUUUCAUAAGUAUGCAUAUGUGUCAGCAGAGUUUUCAAACAAACUUUUCACCACAGUGACAUUACAAGUUAGUCACAAUGAGCUGACAAACACAACGCGUUCGCCUGAGGAGGUGCCGUACCAGCUGUGCAUGAGCUGUACCUUCUACCAUGUGGUUCCUUCGGAAGUCCCCGACCCGCCAUGACAGGCAUAGGUGACCGUCACGUAAGCUGAUCACCGCACAGUUGCUGAAUCCAACCGUUUGGGCUCUCUUACGGGCAGAUGCCAUCUUGGCAACUGCAAUGCCGAUGACAAAAGUGUCAAUGAAGACACUGAUGACAUCUUGGAUGGUAACUACAAUGAUGGCAAUCAUACAGUUCUCUGACAUCCCCCGAAAGCCAUAACCAAUGGUGGUUUGGGUCUCUAAUGAGAAUAGAAAUGCUGCUGUAAAACUUCGAACCUCAUAAACACAUGGCUCUUUGUUGGGGUCUUUCAUAUCGCCGUGGGUCAAUGCAAUGAUCCAGAACAAAAUUCCAAAAAAGAGCCAUGAUAAAAUGUAGGAGAGAGCAAAUGUCAAGAACAUGACCCUCCAGUGGAUCUCUACCAGGGUAGUGAAGAUGUCAGUGAUCCAGAGAAGCCACUCCUCUGGAACGUUCCGCACAACCAUGUUACAGCUCCCAUCUUUUUUUACGUAUCUUUUCUUCUUAGAGUUAUAGUCGUCAUCUGUAAGCACACUAGGAUUUUCGUCACUGCACUUCACUCCAGAAUACUGUACUGUGUCUGAGUUCAUGCUGCCUCAGUCUAGAGAAGAGAGAAAUGCACAGAUUCAAAGAAUGAGUGGGCUCAGCCAGGAUAGCAAGUAGCUGUUGUCUGGGUUGAGUCCUGUGCUUUCUUCCAUUAACCAUUAAAGGAAGCAUCUCUGAACUGCAGCACCCUGAAAAGGUAAAUGAAAAGGGAAUGGAAGCUUCCUAUUGGGAGAACCUUUGGCAGUAGACAAUUUUUUUACGGCCAAACCACUAAGCAUCUUCUCCACUUAUUGCUACCCCCACCCAGCCAUACUGGGCAGCAGGUUCCACUAAGCUAACUGGCUGAACUGGUGUUCAUUUCCUCUGGACACAGAGCCAUGCAUGUUUUUGCCAGAUUAUGGAUUGAUAUUUCUGUAAUAAUGUGAAAUAGUCAAAGUAUCAUCCAAUUAUCUUUUCUCGUGAACUAUUGGAUACAAACAGAAAGAGGCCCUGUGGUUCUGUCUCCAAUAUUUGUGUGAAAAAAAAACGUGCAGAUUGCCUUAUGUUAAUGCAACUGCAGCUCUGAAAACUCAAUUUCCACAAAUUAAUUGCCAUUAUAGUUAUUGCUUCAGUCCUUAUACUGUAUGUGAAAUGUG